rnacentral:rRNA from 1 species
GACAGAGGGUGCAAACGUUGUUCGGAAUUACUGGGCGUAAAGCGCACGCAGGCGGUCUGUUAAGUCAGAUGUGAAAUCCCCGGGCUUAACCUGGGAACUGCAUUUGAAACUGGCAGGCUUGAGUCUUGUAGAGGGGGGUAGAAUUCCAGGUGUAGCGGUGAAAUGCGUAGAGAUCUGGAGGAAUACCGGUGGCGAAGGCGGCCCCCUGGACAAAGACUGACGCUCAGGUGCGAAAGCGUGGGGAGCAAACAGG